rnacentral:tRNA from 1 species
GGAGGGUUGGCAGAGCGGUUGAAUGCACCGGUCUUGAAAACCGGCAAGGGUUUACCCCCUUCCAGGGUUCGAAUCCCUGAUCCUCCG